AACCGCCGUAUGCGGAACCGCACGUACGGUGGUGUGAGAGGUCGGAAAACGAAAGUAGGAAGAAAACUGCUUCGUUUUCCUCCUACUCGAU
rfam:Prevotella copri strain 2789STDY5834881 genome assembly, contig: SCcontig000354